rnacentral:lncRNA from 1 species
GUUUGGCUUUGAAACUAUUUUGAUAUGAGCGUCUGUGAUGAAUCUUAUGUAGACGAAACGCGCGUAUGGCGUACUAAAUUAUAAUUCUGGUACUUUUGAUAGCUAUAUAAAACUAUCAAUGAAUGUUAGAAAUUCUUAUCAGGUUACAGCUGUGUAUGAUGAAGUCCUCAUUCCACAGAUGGGAAAUGAGAGUCCAUAAUACAAACCUCUCAAACCAACAUACAACUAAACCAUUUUUCUUGUUUCGAAAUCAAAUUC